rnacentral:lncRNA from 1 species
GGACCAGGCUCACAAAGGUUGGGUAUGUCUGGACACUGUUACUCUCGACCUUCCAUCUGAACCCAGCAUCGCAACCAGCAUCUUUACAAGAGGGAAGAGAGGCAGAAGAGGAGAAGGAGACACGUUGGCCCAAGCAGAGGUCAGCAUAACUUAGUCACAGCCCUUGAAAACAGAAGACACUGUCACAAGUCAAGGAGUUCAAGAUGACCUAGAAGCCGAAAAAUAGCAACAGAUCCUCUCCAAGAGCUGCUAGAUGAAACGCAGGAUUGCCAGAAUUGUCAUUUUCACCCCAUAAGACCCAUGUGGCAUUUCUGAACUUCAAGAGGGAUUAAACACAAUUAUUUGAAAGAGGUAACUGCAUUCUGGAACUGACCUGACUUCCAAUAUCUGAUGAAGCCAGUGAUGGGCAACACAAGAAAAU